UUGUGAACUACUAUGUGUCAUGAACUACUAUCUCUCCUCCUCGAUUUGGUUGUGAACUACUAUGUGUCAUGAACUACUAUCUCUCCUCCUCGAUUUGGUUGUGAACUACUAUGUGUCAUGAACUACUAUCUCUCCUCCUCGAUUUGGUUGUGAUCUACUAUGUGUCAUGAAGUACUAUGUAUUAUGAAUUAGUAUGUGUCGUGAUCUACUAUGUGUCGUGAAGUACUAUGUGUCGUGAACUACCAUGUGUCACAGUUCUUUGCUUGCUAUGUGUCGUGAACUACUAUCUCUCCUCAUCGGAAUAUGUGUGCAUGUGCCAAAAAAUUUGCUAAGUACAGGUG
rnacentral:lncRNA from 1 species